rnacentral:sRNA from 1 species
UACCCCACUCCUCCCUUCAGCUAAGCCAAGAAGUUUCUUUUGUUUGGUGAGGCUGAAGAAUAGAGACAGUGUUCCAGGAGUAGAUGGACACACUGAGCCCCAAAGGAACUCCACUUCUCCACAGCUCCCCUAAGCAGCGGUCUCCACACGCCCAUCUCUCUUCCUCCUGUUUCCAAGUUCAUCGAUUUCUCUAUCCUUCUCUUCCGUCGCACUGUGCCACCAGACAGAAAACUUGGUAAGGUCACGCAGAUUCAGAAACCCCGGUAAUUCUCAUGUCUGAGAACAGCGGGCAUUUAAUCUACUCACAACCAGGUUUCUGUCCUAGAACAUGGUGACCACCACACCCCAUGGAGGGAACUGUGACUAUUAGUCAUGUAGGGGCAACACCCGAAGUCCUUCCACAUGCAGACGGGGCAUCCCUAACAUCUCGGACCAAACCCAUAGAAAGCAUCUGCUUUUAGAUCCCAACCCACCCGGACAUGUGUAUAACACCCUGUCUACAAGGAAUAAAGUUAUUUCUCAAAAGACUGUCUGGGAGUGUCUGCCUUGUAGAGCUGUAACGCCUUGGGGAAGAGAAAUC